UACGAAGGGAGCUAGCGUUGUUCGGAAUCACUGGGCGUAAAGCGCACGUAGGCGGAUGUGCCAGUCAGGGGUGAAAUCCCGGAGCUCAACUCCGGAACUGCCUCUGAUACAGCACGUCUUGAGUCCGGAAGAGGUGGGUGGAAUUCCUAGUGUAGAGGUGAAAUUCGUAGAUAUUAGGAAGAACACCGGUGGCGAAGGCGGCCCACUGGUCCGGUACUGACGCUGAGGUGCGAAAGCUAGGGGAGCAAACAGG
rnacentral:rRNA from 1 species